rnacentral:rRNA from 1 species
AACUUCUGAAUGUGACCUCGGAUCAGGUAGAUGC